rnacentral:rRNA from 1 species
GACGAACGCUGGCGGCGUGCUUAACACAUGCAAGUCACGGGGGCCCGCAAGGGUAACCGGCGAACGGGUGCGUAACACGUGAGCAACCUGCCGUCCACUGGGGGAUAGCCGGCCCAACGGCCGGGUAAUACCGCAUACGCUGCUCGGGUGGCAUCACCUGAGCAGGAAACCUCCGGGGGUGGACGAGGGGCUCGCGGCCUAUCAGCUAGUUGGUGGGGUCACGGCCUACCAAGGCGAUGACGGGUAGCUGGUUUGAGAGGAUGGCCAGCCACAUUGGGACUGAGAUACGGCCCAGACUCCUACGGGAGGCAGCAGUGGGGAAUAUUGCGCAAUGGCCGCAAGGCUGACGCAGCGACGCCGCGUGGGGGAUGACGCAUUUCGGUGUGUAAACCCCUGUUGCUCGGGACGAAUCGCCUCUUUUGAGGGGCUUGACGGUAAGGGGUGAGGAAGCACCGGCUAACUCCGUGCCAGCAGCCU